CGGGGGCGCUAUCGUGCGCGUCGAGCGGAACGAGUUAUCUGAACCUUCGGGGAACGAUAACGGCGUCGAGCGGCGGACGGGUGAGUAAUGCCUAGGAAAUUGCCUUGAUGUGGGGGAUAACCAUUGGAAACGAUGGCUAAUACCGCAUGAUGCCUACGGGCCAAAGAGGGGGACCUUCGGGCCUCUCGCGUCAAGAUAUGCCUAGGUGGGAUUAGCUAGUUGGUGAGGUAAUGGCUCACCAAGGCGACGAUCCCUAGCUGGUCUGAGAGGAUGAUCAGCCACACUGGAACUGAGACACGGUCCAGACUCCUACGGGAGGCAGCAGUGGGGAAUAUUGCACAAUGGGCGCAAGCCUGAUGCAGCCAUGCCGCGUGUAUGAAGAAGGCCUUCGGGUUGUAAAGUACUUUCAGCAGUGAGGAAGGGGGUGUCGUUAAUAGCGGCAUUUCUUGACGUUAGCUGCAGAAGAAGCACCGGCUAACUCCGUGCCAGCAGCCGCGGUAAUACGGAGGGUGCGAGCGUUAAUCGGAAUUACUGGGCGUAAAGCGCAUGCAGGUGGUUUGUUAAGUCAGAUGUGAAAGCCCGGGGCUCAACCUCGGAACUGCAUUUGAAACUGGCAAACUAGAGUACUGUAGAGGGGGGUAGAAUUUCAGGUGUAGCGGUGAAAUGCGUAGAGAUCUGAAGGAAUACCAGUGGCGAAGGCGGCCCCCUGGACAGAUACUGACACUCAGAUGCGAAAGCGUGGGGAGCAAACAGGAUUAGAUACCCUGGUAGUCCACGCCGUAAACGAUGUCUACUUGGAGGUUGUGGCCUUGAGCCGUGGCUUUCGGAGCUAACGCGUUAAGUAGACCGCCUGGGGAGUACGGUCGCAAGAUUAAAACUCAAAUGAAUUGACGGGGGCCCGCACAAGCGGUGGAGCAUGUGGUUUAAUUCGAUGCAACGCGAAGAACCUUACCUACUCUUGACAUCCAGAGAAGUUAGCGGAGACGCAUGUGUGCCUUCGGGACUCUGAGACAGUGCUGCAUGGCUGUCGUCAGCUCGUGUUGUGAAAUGGUUGGGUUAAGUCCCGCAACGAGCGCAACCCUUAUCCUUGUUUG
rnacentral:rRNA from 1 species